UUGCUCACAGUCGUUGGAGAGCAGCCCUUCAGAAUGCUGCUUCUCAUUUCUUGGUCCCUCCCAGUAAGAAAUGUUUCUGGUUAGCUAAGGGUCACAUUUUCUGGAGGGACUGCAGUGUCCUUCCUGUGCUGGCAGGGAAGCAGAGCGGUGGGAAAGAGGCAGCAGCAUGCUUUUGCACUGAGGUUCGAGGGAAGGAAACCAUUAUGACUCCAUCAGUUUGCAGAGCAGUUUGCUUCAAGCUGGUGAGGAAAAUCCUCUUCUCCUGAGUGUGCAGCUAUGGUGUUGAAGCAGGACUCUUCCCUGGAGGUGUCCAUGGGCUGUAUUUAGAGAUCGAAGCACUGGAGAGCUGGGAAGAACUCUGCCUAGGCUUGUGCUGAAGGCUCCUUGGAGAAAGCAAACCCAUGGAGUCCUGUGUGCUGGUGACAAGCACCAUCUCAGCAGGUGGCAAAGCAGCAGCCAACUGAACCUGA